rnacentral:rRNA from 1 species
UGGGGAAUAUUGGACAAUGGGCGCAAGCCUGAUCCAGCAAUGCCGCGUGGAGGACGAAGGUCUUCGGAUCGUAAACUCCUGUCAGGCGGGACGAAGGCUGCGGGGCAAAUAGUCCUGCAGCUUGACGGUACUGCCAGAGGAAGCCCCGGCUAACUCCGUGCCAGCAGCCGCGGUAAUACGGAGGGGGCUAGCGUUGUUCGGAAUUACUGGGCGUAAAGGGUUCGUAGGUGGUCAACUAAGUCAUACGUGAAAUCCCUCAGCUUAACUGGGGAACUGCGUCUGAUACUGGUUGACUUGAGUGCAGGAGAGGAACGCGGAAUUCCAGGUGUAGCGGUGAAAUGCGUAGAUAUCUGGAGGAACACCGGUGGCGAAGGCGGCGUUCUGGACUGUAACUGACACUGAGGAACGAAAGCCAGGGGAGCAAA